GACGAACGCUGGCGGCGUGCUUAACACAUGCAAGUCGAACGAAGAGCGAUGGAAGCUUGCUUCUAUCAAUCUUAGUGGCGAACGGGUGAGUAACGCGUAAUCAACCUGCCCUUCAGAGGGGGACAACAGUUGGAAACGACUGCUAAUACCGCAUACGAUCCAACCUCGGCAUCGAGGAUGGAUGAAAGGUGGCCUCUAUUUAUAAGCUAUCACUGAAGGAGGGGAUUGCGUCUGAUUAGCUAGUUGGAGGGGUAACGGCCCACCAAGGCAAUGAUCAGUAGCCGGUCUGAGAGGAUGAACGGCCACAUUGGGACUGAGACACGGCCCAGACUCCUACGGGAGGCAGCAGUGGGGAAUCUUCCGCAAUGGACGAAAGUCUGACGGAGCAACGCCGCGUGAGUGAUGACGGCCUUCGGGUUGUAAAGCUCCUUUAAUCGGGACGAAAGGUCCUCUUGCGAAUAGUUAGAGGAAUUGACGGUACCGGAA
rnacentral:rRNA from 1 species